rnacentral:rRNA from 1 species
AUACGGAGGAUGCGAGCGUUAUCCGGAUUUAUUGGGUUUAAAGGGAGCGCAGGCGGGAUUUUAAGCGUGUUGUGAAAUGUAACGGCUCAACCGUUGAAUUGCAGCGCGAACUGGAGUCCUUGAGUGAGUACGACGUCAGCGGAAUUCGUGGUGUAGCGGGGAAAUGCUUAGAUAUCACGAAGAACUCCGAUUGCGAAGGCAGCUGACGAGUCCUUAACUGACGCUAAAGCUCGAAAGUGCGGGUAUCGAACAGGAUUAGAUACCCUGGUAGUCCGCACGGUAAACGAUGGAUGCCCGCUGUUGGCGAUAUACAGUCAGCGGCCAAGCGAAAGCGUUAAGCAUCCCACCUGGGGAGUACGCCGGCAACGGUGAAACUCAAAGGAAUGGACGGGG